CGAUAUCCUGGCUCAGAGCGAACGCUGGCGGCGUGCUUAACACAUGCAAGUCGAACGUGAAAUGUAGCAAUACAGAGUAAAGUGGCGUACGGGUGAGUAACACGUGGGUAAUCUACCUUAGAGUCUGGAAUAACCUGCCGAAAGGCGGGCUAAUACUGGAUAGUUCAAGCUUGUUAUAAAGACAAGAUUGGGAAAGAGAGCCGGCAACGGCCUUUGCUUUAAGAUGAGCCCGCGUCUGAUUAGCUAGUUGGUAAGGUAAUGGCUUACCAAGGCGAUGAUCAGUAGCUGGUCUGAGAGGAUGAUCAGCCACACUGGAACUGAAACACGGUCCAGACUCCUACGGGAGGCAGCAGUGGGGAAUCUUGCGCAAUGGACGAAAGUCUGACGCAGCCACGCCGCGUGAGUGAAGAAGGCCUUCGGGUUGUAAAGCUCUGUCGGAAGGGACAAAAACCAUUGGGGUUAAUAGCCUCAGUGCUUGAUGGUACCUUUAAAGGAAGCACCGGCUAACUUCGUGCCAGCAGCCGCGGUAAUACGAAGGGUGCAAGCGUUGCUCGGAAUUAUUGGGCGUAAAGGGUAGGUAGGUGGUUACGUAUGUCUGAGGUGAAAUCCCCGAGCUUAACUUGGGAAGUGCCUUGGAAACGGCGUAACUAGAGUACUAGAGAGGUUCGUGGAAUUCCCAGUGUAGCGGUGAAAUGCGUAGAGAUUGGGAGGAACACCAGAGGCGAAAGCGACGAACUGGAUAGGCACUGACACUCAACUACGAAAGCGUGGGUAGCAAACAGGAUUAGAUACCCUGGUAGUCCACGCUGUAAACGAUGGGUGCUAGGAUUUGUGGGAGUUGACCCCUGCAGAUCCGGAGCUAACGCAAUAAGUACCCCGCCUGGGAAGUACGGUCGCAAGACUAAAACUCAAAGGAAUUGACGGGAGGCUAUCGUGACUGGGAAAC
rnacentral:rRNA from 1 species